GAAUCGUGCUCGCUUUAGCUAUCACUUGAGAAAGAAAAAGGAUAAGGAACAAAGAGAAAGAAUCAGCAGUACAGCUGUUCCACUGCUCGACGCUAAUCGAAGUGACGCGACUCGACGCGGCACACGUACACGGGCUGCUCGCUUGUGGUAUGCUGCAAACUUUCCGAAUCUGGCAGCUCUGCUGUGCGUUCCCAUCUCGAGGGAGAACAUUCCGGGAAUUACCGAGCCUCAAAUGAGACUUCCCUUCCUGUCUUCCUGCCAUUUCCUGACGAGAUCACGGAGAAUGGUACUUCCUCUCCAAAGCUAGGUGCAUUAAUAAGUUCGGAUCUCCUCUUUUCCUGAAUUCUGGCAACGAGCUAAUCCGCGACGUCGGGAAAUGUGCAAAAU